UAUUAAAAACAAAAUUCCGCUUUCCCACCAUUUUUCCUUUCUUCUUCCCUUCUCCACAAAGACUCCAAACUUUAUCACUCCCUCGUUCAUCUCUUUCUCCCUCGCGCGUAACUCUUUCACUCACGAAAUCACUAGCUUUGCCCUUGUAAAGGAUACCGUUGCAUGUCUGCAUUGUCCUCUAAGCCUGGGUAAGCACAGGUGAGCGUCUCCAUCUUUCUCUCUUUUAAGUGUGAGAUUCCUUUAACAGCCGUUCACGCACAUGGCCCUCUAACCUUGACAACUAUGGUCGAGCAGCUCAUCGACGAUCAGGUCUCCAAGUUCAAGGAGGCCUUUAACCUCUUCGACAAGGAUGACGAUGAUAUAUUUUCUCAAAUCUCCUGAUGAGGAAAAGAGCUAGUUAAAGAAAGGAACUUUUAAAAUAAAAGAAAAAGAAGGGAUGUUUGCUGUCUUUAUGAAAUUUCUCUACACACACAGCUUGUAUCCAGAAAGAUUAGAAGAAGGGAAGAGGGAAAUAGAAGUAAGUAGUUCAACUAUUAUUAAACUUCAUUUGGAUACACAACCUAGACACUACUUGGAAGGAAGAUUCGUCCAAAAUAAUGAACAUCUAAGAAUGCUCUAAAUGAAGUAAUUCAACCAAGUGCAAAGUGUAGUUGAAUCGUAAUAAGUGACAAUUGAACAAUCCUAAAAAGGUUGACAAGUCAAGAAGCUAUAUCUAACAUGGAACGGAGCUCAUAACAAUCUAAUGACAAUCACAGGUAAUUUUUACAACUGAGGUAGGUGUUAUGUUUGAAACUCUAGUUUGAUAUAAAGUGUUGGAUUAGAUUAGUAUAUACAAACAUAGAUCUUGCUUGUUGAUGAAUUCCUUUGAAUUUCAUAUAUCUAUAAAGGUUUUCGUGUGUUUGACCCCCUCCUUAUUGUGUGUGUUGCAUGCUUAUUUAUUUUAGUUUCGUUCGAGAGUUCUAAAUGUGAUUCAUAUGGCAUUGUAUUUAUGGCUUUAUGCUUAUCUUACAAAGGCUAGCAAUUCAAGAAGAUACCUCUAACAUAAAAAGUUCAUAACAAUCUAACAAUAGUUAACAAGUAAUAUUUAUUUGAAAAUCUUCUUACAACUCUAGUUUGUUGAAGCUAUUGGAUUUGAUUGGUAUAUGUGUGUUGA